GCCAUGAAAGGUUAUCAUGUUUAUAAAAAUAAUCAUCCUUUCGGAACUAUACUGACAUGCAUAUCUGAACUUGAAAACGAAUACAGUGAUAGUGCUAUUGUUCGUGCAAGGAAUGGACAUUGAAAUACUGUGUUCAUAUAAAAUAUUUGGAAUUAAAGACAAGAAAAGUGAUGUACAAUCUUACAUCAGAAGGGAAAUAAGAAAACUCGCUGUUUAACUGAUAAAAGGAAUCUGUAGAUAUUUUACUCCACGUCUUAUACACGAAUGCAACCUAUACUUGUACGAUUACGGUGGAGCUUGUCAGCAAAUUCUAUCUUCACCAUGACAAUGCAGCACCCCAUACUUCUGUCAUUACCGAGACAACACUAGCUGGACUAGAUAUUAAAACUAUACCACAUCCCCCGCACCAUGUGACUUUUGGCUUUUACCCAAAAUCAAGAACAAAUUAAGAGGCUCAUGUUUCGAUGAUGUCGAAGACCUGCCAAUGGGUAUUUGGAAGUGUAUCAGGAAAAUAGCAACAGAAAACUUCAACAGCUGCUUUAAAUCUUGGGUUCACAGACACGAGAAGUGUGACAUGUGUAUUGUGUCCCAACAUUACUACAUAGACUUUCUGCAAUUAUUUAUAUAUUUAGUUGCCCUGCUCACAUUUACCUAAAGUUGCUAUGGUUAUAAUAAUUGCAUGUUAUUUUUAAUUUUGUAAAGUUGCUUCUGAGAAUGAGUAAAAGGUA
rnacentral:lncRNA from 1 species